rnacentral:rRNA from 1 species
AUACGAAAGGUGCAAGCGUUGUUCGGAUUUACUGGGCGUAAAGAGAGUGUAGGUUGUUUAUUAAGUCGGAUGUGAAAUCCCGGGGCUCAACCUCGGAACUGCAUUCGAUACUGAUAGGCUAGAGUUUGGGAGGGGUAAGCGGAAUUCCGUGUGUAGCAGUGAAACGCGUAGAUAUACGGAGGAACACCUGAGGCGAAGGCGGCUUACUGGACCAAUACUGACACUGAGACUCGAAAGCGUGGGUAGCAAACAGGAUUAGAAACCCUAGUAGUCC